AGUUUGAUCCUGGCUCAGAUUGAACGCUGGCGGCAGGCCUAACACAUGCAAGUCGAGCGGAAACGAUCCUAGCUUGCUAGGAGGCGUCGAGCGGCGGACGGGUGAGUAAUGCAUAGGAAUCUACCCAGUCGUGGGGGAUAACCUGAGGAAACUCAGGCUAAUACCGCAUACGUCCUACGGGAGAAAGCGGGGGCUCUUCGGACCUCGCGCGAUUGGAUGAGCCUAUGUCGGAUUAGCUUGUUGGUAAGGUAACGGCUUACCAAGGCGACGAUCCGUAGCUGGUCUGAGAGGAUGAUCAGCCACACCGGGACUGAGACACGGCCCGGACUCCUACGGGAGGCAGCAGUGGGGAAUAUUGGACAAUGGGCGAAAGCCUGAUCCAGCCAUGCCGCGUGUGUGAAGAAGGCUUUCGGGUUGUAAAGCACUUUCAGCGAGGAAGAAAGCGUGCCGGCCAAUACCCGGUACGGACGACAUCACUCGCAGAAGAAGCACCGGCUAACUCCGUGCCAGCAGCCGCGGUAAUACGGAGGGUGCAAGCGUUAAUCGGAAUUACUGGGCGUAAAGCGCGCGUAGGCGGCGUGUCACGCCGGGUGUGAAAGCCCCGGGCUCAACCUGGGAACGGCAUCCGGAACGGGCAGGCUAGAGUGCAGGAGAGGAAGGUAGAAUUCCCGGUGUAGCGGUGAAAUGCGUAGAGAUCGGGAGGAAUACCAGUGGCGAAGGCGGCCUUCUGGACUGACACUGACGCUGAGGUGCGAAAGCGUGGGUAGCAAACAGGAUUAGAUACCCUGGUAGUCCACGCCGUAAACGAUGUCGACUAGCCGUUGGGUCCCUUGAGGACUUAGUGGCGCAGUUAACGCGAUAAGUCGACCGCCUGGGGAGUACGGCCGCAAGGUUAAAACUCAAAUGAAUUGACGGGGGCCCGCACAAGCGGUGGAGCAUGUGGUUUAAUUCGAUGCAACGCGAAGAACCUUACCUACCCUUGACAUCCUGCGAACCCGGAAGAGAUUCCGGGGUGCCUUCGGGAGCGCAGAGACAGGUGCUGCAUGGCUGUCGUCAGCUCGUGUUGUGAAAUAUUGGGUUAAGUCCCGUAACGAGCGCAACCCUUGUCCCUAUUUGCCAGCGAUUCGGU
rnacentral:rRNA from 1 species